AUGGGCAGCUCCGACGCCAACCUCAUCACCGCCUUUGGUGAGCUGCCAGCCUUCCAGCCACUGAAUGACGAUGACGUACGGUCCUACCUCCACAAGGCCGUCGACUUCAUUUCUGACUACUACAAGUCCGUCGAGUCCAUGCCGGAGCUGCCCAGCGUCAAACCUGGCUACCUGCAGGGCGAGCUCGGAGCGUCCCCAUCGGUGCAUUCGUCCCCUUUCGACGUCGCCAUGAAAGAGCUCAAGGCAUCAGUGGUGCCUGGCAUGACACACUUGGCCAGCCCAAACUUCUUCGCGUUUUUCCCGGCGACCAACAGCGCGGCGGCUAUCGCCGGAGAUCUCAUUGCCUUGGCAAUAAACACCAUCGGGUUCACGUGGCAGGCGGCUCCCGUCGCUACGGAGAUGGAGGUGCUCGCGCUCGAUUGGCUCGCGCAGCUUCUUCGUCUUCCAAGGAGCUUCAUGAACCGCACCGGUGCUUCCGAGGGGACGGGCGGCAGCGUCAUUCUGGGGACGACGAGUGAGGCCAUGCUUGUCACCUUUGCCGCCGCCCGUGACGUCGCUAUGCGCCGGAGUGGCGCCGGGAUUCCAAACCUGGCCAUCUAUGCCUCUGACCAGACCCACUCCAUGUUCUGCAAGGCGUGCCGGCUGGCAGGCUUCGACCCUGCAAAUUUCCGCGCCAUUCCCACUAGUCUAGAGGCCGAGUACGGUGCUCACCCGGUGAAGCUACUGGCGGCCAUGUAGGAGGACGCCGACGCAGGACUCGUGCCGACAUACGUUUGCGCCACGGUGGGCACCACGUCCUCCAAUGCCGUCGACCCCAUAGGAGAUGUGGCGGAUGUUGUAUCUAUGUUCAACGCCUGGGUUCAUGUCGACGCUGCCUAUGCUGGCAGUGCCUGCAUUUUCCCAGAGUUCAAACACCACUGCAACGGCGUCGAGCGCGUGGACUCCAUCAACAUGAGCCCGCACAAGUGGCUGCUCACGUGCCUGGACUGCACCUGCCUGUACGUGCGCGAUGCGCACCACCUCAGCCAGUCGCUGGAGACUAACCCGGAGUACCUCAAGAACGAUGCCAGCGCCUCUGGCACCGUAACUGACCUCAAAGACAUGCAGGUUGGAGUCGGCCGCCGCUUCCGUGGUCUCAAGCUCUAGAUGGUCAUGCGCACGUACGGCACAGCCAAUCUCCAGGAACACAUCCGGAGAGACGUGGCAAUGGCCAAGAUGUUCCAGGACUUGGUCCAUGCCGAUGGCCGGUUCGAGAUCGUUGUGGCCAGAAACUUUGCUCUGGUCUGCUUCAGGAUCAAGGCGACAAAAGUUAGGCCCGACGACGAUGAGCUGAACCGUCUGCUAAUGGUAAACGUGAACAAGACCGGCAAGGCGUACCUUGCGCACACAGUGGUAAGUGGCAGGCUCGUACUGCGCUUCGCGGUCGGAUCAUCACUUCAGGAGGAGAGGCAUAUCGUGUGCGCCUGGGAGGUCAUCAAGAAGAUAACUAGUGAAAUUAUGAUGAAUUGA
rnacentral:rRNA from 1 species